UCUCUCUCUCUCUCUCUCUCUCUCUCUCUCUCUCUCUCUCUCUCUCUCUCGUUUUUGCCUCCCGCUGCGCUAAUGUGUUUUUUUGUGUGUGUUUGUUUGUGUGUUAAAACCGUAAAAAGAUGGGACCUGAAUUUUUUUUAUUUUUUUCAAGGGGGUCGUUUUGAAGCCAAGGGAGAGAAGGAAGGAAAGGAGGUAAGGAGAGAGGAAGAAAAGAAGGAAUGGAAAGAAGGAAGGCGGGAAAGGAAGAGAAGGGAUGAAGGAAAAGGAAGGAAAAAAAAUGUAGGUGGGAAGGGUAAGGAAGGAAAGGAGGGAAAAGGAGGAAAAAUGGAGAGAUAGAGGAAGGAAAUGAGGGAAUAAAGAAAGGUAGGGAGAGAAGAAAGAAGGGAAAAGGAGCAGGCAGGAAAAGAAGGAAGAGAGGGAGGGAAACGAAGACAAAAAAAAAAAAAGAGAGGAAGGGAGAGAAAGGAAGGAAGAAAGCGAGGAAGGCAGGAGGGAAAAAAGGAAUGGAGGAGAGAAAGAAAAAAAAAGGAAGGUAAAGAGAAAGAGAAAGUAGAGAGAAAUAGAUGGCAAUGAAGGGAAAGAAGAAGGAAGAAAAAAAAGGAAGGUAAAGAGAAAGAGAAAGAAGAGAGAAAUAGAUGGCAAUGAAGGGAAAGAAGAAGGAAGAAAAAAAAGGAAGGUAAAGAGAAAGAGAAAGUAGAGAGAAAUAGAUGGCAAUGAAGGGAAAGAAGAAGGAAGAAAAAAAAGGAAGGGUAGUAGGGAACGAAAGAAGGAAGGGAGGAAAAGAGGGAGUGAAGGAAG